rnacentral:rRNA from 1 species
GACGAACGCUGGCGGCGUGCCUAAUACAUGCAAGUCGAACGCAGUGGGGACGGGUGAGUAACACGUGGGUAACCUCCCAUCAGAGGGGAUAAACCUUGGAAACAGGUGCUAAACCGAUACUGAUGGAUGGACCCGCGGUGCAUUAGCUAGUUGGUGGGGUAACGGCUCACCAAGGCUACGAUGCAUAGCCGCCCUGAGAGGGUGAUCUGCCACACUGGGACUGAGACACGGGCCAGACUCCUACGGGAGGCAGCAGUAGGGAAUCUUCGACAAUGGACGAAAGUCUGACCGAGCAACGCCGCGUGAGUGAAGAAGGUUUUCGGAUCGUAAAGCUCUGUUGUUAGAGAAGCGUUAUCUAACCAAAAAGCCACGGCUAACUACGUGCCAGCCGCCGCGGUAAUAC